rnacentral:rRNA from 1 species
CAGCGCCACAAGUGGGAACCACGUUUAUUGGGCCUAAAGCGUCCGUAGCCGGUUUGUUAAAUCUUUUGUGAAAUCGCAAGGCUUAACUUUGCGGCAUGCAGAAGACACUGACAAACUUGGAACCGGGAGGAGUUAGAAGUAUUCAAGGGGUAGCGGUAAAAUGUUCUGAUCCUUUGAAGACUACCUGUGGCGAAGGCGUCUAACUAGAACGGAUUCGACGGUGAGGGACGAAAGCCAGGGGAGCAAAACGGAUUAGAUACCCGAGUAGUCC